rnacentral:rRNA from 1 species
CCUACGGGAGGCAGCAGUGAGGAAUAUUGCCCAAUGGACGCAAGUCUGAGGCAGCAACGCCGCGUGGGCGACGAAGGCCUUCGGGUUGUAAAGCCCUUUUCUGGGGGACGAGAAAGGACGGUACCUCAGGAAUGAGUCACGGCUAACUACGUGCCAGCAGCCGCGGUAAUACGUAGGUGGCUAGCGUUAUCCGGAUUCACUGGGCGUAAAGCGCGUGCAGGCGGUUCCGUAAGUCGGACGUGAAAGCUCCUGGCUUAACUGGGAGAGGUCGUUCGAUACUGCGGGGCUUGAGGUCGGGAGAGGGACGUGGAAUUCCCGGUGUAGUGGUGGAAUGCGUAGAUAUCGGGAGGAACACCAGUGGCGAAGGCGGCGUCCUGGCCCGCACCUGACGCUAAGACGCGAAAGCGUGGGUAGCGAACGGGAUUAGAUACCCCGGUAGUCCACGCUGUAAACGGUGGAUACUAGGUGUUGGUGGCUAUCGUCAUCAGUGCCGUAGCUAACGCGUUAAGUAUCCCGCCUGGGGACUACGGCCGCAAGGCUAAAACUCAAAGGAAUUGACGG